AGGCCACUGCUAUCGGGGUUUGACUAAGCCAUGCGAGUCGAGAGGUGCAAGACCUCGGCGAACUGCUCAGUAACACGUGGACAAUCUGCCCUGGAGAAGAGGAUAAUCCCGGGAAACUGGGGGUAAUACUCUAUAGUCCGGUUUGACUGGAAUGUCAUCCGGAUGAAAGAUCCGUCGCUUCAGGAUGAGUCUGCGGCCGAUUAGGUAGUUGUUGGGGUAAAAGCCCAACAAGCCUGUAAUCGGUACGGGUUGUGGGAGCAAGAGCCCGGAGAUGGAUUCUGAGACACGAAUCCAGGCCCUACGGGGCGCAGCAGGCGCGAAAACUUUACAAUGCGGGCAACCGUGAUAAGGAAACCCCGAGUGCCAGCAUAGGCUGGCUGUCCACCAGUGUAAACAACUGGUGAAGAAAGGGCCGGGCAAGACCGGUGCCAGCCGCCGCGGUAAUACCGGCGGCUCGAGUGGUGGCCGCUUUUACUGGGCUUAAAGGGUCCGUAGCUGGAUUCACAAGUCCCUUGAGAAAUCCAUCGGCUUAACUGAUGGGCGUUCAGGGGAUACUGUGGUUCUAGGGACCGGGAGAGGUGAGAGGUACUGCCGGGGUAGGAGUGAAAUCCUGUAAUCCCGGUGGGACGACCUAUGGCGAAGGCAUCUCACCAGAACGGCUCCGACAGUGAGGGACGAAAGCUGGGGGAGCAAACCGGAUUAGAUACCCGGGUAGUCCCAGCUGUAAACGAUGCGCGUUAGGUGUGUCAGUGAUCACGUGUCACUGAGAUGCCGAAGGGAAACCGUGAAACGCGCCGCCUGGGGAGUACGGUCGCAAGGCUGAAACUUAAAGGAAUUGGCGGGGGAGCACCACAACGGGUGGAGCCUGCGGUUUAAUCGGACUCAACGCCGGGAAUCUCACCGGAUAAGACAGCUGAAUGAUAGUCGGGAUGAAGACUCUACUUGACUAGCUGAGAGGAGGUGCAUGGCCGUCGUCAGUUCGUACUGUGAAGCAUCCUGUUUAGUCAGGCAACGAGCGAG
rnacentral:rRNA from 1 species